CCACGAGAUCAUGACCUGAGCUGAAGUCAGACAACGAACUGAGCCAUCCAGGCACCCCAAGUGAGAACAAUUAAGAUGUAAUCUCUUAGCAACUCUGAAGUUCGAAUACAUCCUUACGGACCGUGAUCACAAUGCUGUGCAUUUCAUCUCCAGAACUUACUUAUCUACCAACUUUCUCACCUCCUGUGUUUUCAAUCGGUGCAUCCCUGAACUCACCAUGCUGGGUGCAUCUGUUGAUGAGGAAGACGGAGAGGAAGAGGAGCAAAAUGGAGAGACAGCUGCAGGUGGCAGCAAUAAUGGAUCUGGUGACUGGUGGGAGAGGAGCAGGUCACACAAUCAGUUUGGCUGCCCAGACACCCUGAUCUGCAUGCGGCAGGACAGUCGUCAGCAGCUAGACAAUCCAGCUUCUAAAGCCUCCAGCUGCUGCUUCCGAGCUGGACCUUCCGAUGUCUUAGGGGAGUGAAUCUGACUUUCCCUUUCCCCAUUCAAAGCGAGGAUGGGAAUAGUAGCUACUGACUGCACUGCAUGGUGGGGGGCUGGGGGGGUAACCAGGUGGGCACUCCCAGAGAGGGCCUCGCCCAAGGGAAAUUCCCAAUCAGUGUGUCAGCCAUAUCAAUAGUAAUGAAGAUUUAUGGGGCGCCCGGCUGGCUCCAUUGGUUGAGCAUCCGACUUCGGCGCAGGCCAUGAUCUCACAGUUCGUGGGUUCAAGCCCCGCGUCGGGCUCUGUGCUGACAGCUCAGAGCCUGGAGCCUGCUUCAGAUUCUGUCUCCCCCUCUCUCUGCCCCUCCUCUGCUCGUGCUCUGUCUCUUUCUCUCAAAAAUAAAUACAUGUUUAAAAAAAUUAAAAAAAAAAAAAAGUCACACAGCCGGGAUGGGCUUCAAGUCCUGGGAUGUCUAACCCUUCAGGCCAGGUGGCCCCGGGUCCGGGCAGCUCUGUGCUGGCCACUGGGUGUGGAAACCCCAGAGAAGUGAGCUCACAGUCUGGGCAGAUACGCGUUUCCCCACAUAACGGCAAUGCUGGCAGAGGCAAGUCCCAUCAGACAUGAAUGGAAGUCCCAACUCUCUCCCAGUUCAAGGGUUGUUUAAAUGGUAUACACCCCUGGGAUAUUAUUCAGAAAAUCCUACCAUCUGCAACAAAGCCUAUGAAACCUGGAGGGCAUUAUGCUAAGGGACAUGAACCAAAGGCAAACACUACAUGAUUGGAUUCCUCUUACACUUGGAAUCUAAAAAAUUAAAAAAAUUUUUUUUUUUUAAUUGAACUCAUAGAAGCAGAGAGUAGAUGGUUGCCAGGGGCUGAGGGCGGGGUAAGUGGGGAGAAGCUUCCAGUUAAAAGAUGAAUAAGGAUUCCUGGGUGGCUCAGUCGGUUAAGCGUCUGACUUCAGCUUAGGUCAUGAGUUCGAGCCCCGCGUCGGGCUCUCUGCUGACAGCUCAGAGCCUGGAACCCGCUGCGGAUUCUGUGUUUCCCUGUCUCUCUGCCCCUCCCCCGCUCAUGCUCUGUCUCUCUCUCUCUCUCUCUUUCUCAAAAAUGAAUAAACUUAAAAAAAACUUUAAAAAAAAAGGAGUAAGAGUAUAACAGGUUUUGAGAGAAAUCCAGAGGUGAUCCAGGAUGUGUAUAGUGAUUAUUCAAGUUCAUAAAAUACAUUACUUUCCUUGGUAUUCACUUUUUGGGGCAACGGGAAUGCCAAUGAGGAGAAAUAUGUUAAUGCAAAUUCGUAACUGUUUAAAUCUAAUAUCUAACAUAUACGCGUUUUAAGUUAAAAUGGCACAUAAUAAGCAAUUUUAUUGCCAAUCACAUGAAGUUUUCCCUUUGCGUGAGAUCUUGAAUUUACAAUGAACGUUUCCUGGCUACCAGGAACAUUAUUUUUGAAUUAUCUAGAUAUGUCUUAUUUCUAAACUGAACCACACCAGUUAGUAUUUUCACAGGAGGGUUCUCUUGCUGACUGAGGCUUACUAGAAUCAUCUUUCGUGUGGAAUUUUUCUUCCAAAAUGCCUACUAUACAGAAGACCAUAAGAACUGAAUUUUUUUGUUUGAUAGUACUUUUUUUCAGUCUUUUAAAUUCGGACAGAAUUUGAACACAUCGACUCUGUUUGCACUCAAAAGAAGCGAAUAAAAAGUACUUAUAAAAGACAACAUGGGGUGCCUGGGUGGCGCAGUUGGUUGGGCGUCUGCCUUCGGCUCAGGUCAUGAUCUCACAAUCCGUGAGUUCGAGCCCCACAUCGGGCUCUGUGCUGACCGCUCAGAGCCUGGAGCCUGCUUCGGAUUCUGUGUCUCCCUCUCUCUCUGCCCCUCCCUGUCUCACACUCUGUCUCUUGCUCUCACAAAAAUAAAUAAAUAUUAAAUGUUUUUUAAAAGGUGAAUAAAUUCUGCACAUGUAAUGUAUCGUAUGGUGAAAGUAGUUGAUACUCUAUUGUAUAAAUGAAAUUUGCUUAAAGAGAUCUUAAGCAUUCUUACUAAAAAAAAAAAAAGUGAGUACGUGAGGGGCAGGUGCAUUCAUUCAUUUGAUGGGGGGAUUCCUUUCACGGCGUGCUUGUACUCCCAACCAUCACGGGGCACACUUUAAAUACCUUAUUUUCUUUCCCGAUUACAGCUCCAUAAAGAUGGGGCCGGAAGGAGAGGGGUGGGGUGAGAAUACCUGACUCACAGAGCUGGAUAUUGAAGGUGCGAGUACUGGCUUUACAACGCUCAGUCUAGAAUCUGACUCACCGUGUAGGAUAAUGAGAUCGCAGUGAUAAUGAUUAUUUUCUCCCCCGAUAUCCCGCCCACACCUGUCUCCCUCUGUAGCAGAUGAUGCCGAUGCUCCUCCUUCCCUGCUCCCCCAGAUCCCUUUGCUGUUUUUAUGCACUCUGGAUCGUGGUUUCCUGCCUUAAGCCCUGGCUGCCCGUGUGUGCCACCUUCUCCAUCUCCUGCACUUUCCCGUGGCAUUGAGCAAAAGACACUCACUCGUGUUCUGUCCUUUUCUUCUCAUGCCUUCUUCCCCCGUGCCCUCUGCAAUAUCGUUUCCACGCUCGUACUUAUGUGAGAGUCUGCUUCUAGCAGCCCUGAAUCCAACACACCCUCAAACACAGCAAUCUAUCAGCGCAUCACCAGGGACGUGAGACACAGGGCAGGAGCAGCUCUUCCCGGACUAGCAAGGCCCUGAAUGGACGCAGAGAAGCUUCGACAUUCAUCUAGCCUAGAUUUCGCUCUCACAGCAGCUCACUAGAAAUGAGAAGUAAACUAUUACAAGACUUCCCUCUUCCUAUGGCCCCACACCCAUCGAUCUGAGCUCACCCUGAGAUGUCCACAUAUCCUGGCCAAAUUUCACAUCCCUGUUUACAAGUUGCCAGAAUAAACUACAAAGAGUCUCUGAUGUUGGUGUGAAGGAAUCAGACGAGCAAAGGGAUACAGCUUGACAUGGGGCGUAAAUAAAGUCACAGACACAGAAGAGAAGGCUGGCCUCGUAUGCGGGCUGGGGACAUCCUGUCUGAGCUUAAAGGCUUUAUUCUGUUUAGAAUCGCGGCGGUAUAAAUUUGAACUCAGAAAGCACAUCUUAAGAAGACACCCACUAGGGUGUCUAUAAUAAAAGGAAAAUAAGGGUUGGCAAGGAUAUGGAGAUAUUGGAACCCACAUGCAUUACUGGUGGGAAUGUAAAAUGGGGCGGCCACGUUGGGAAAUAACUUGGCCGUUUCUCAAAAAGUUAAAUGUAGAGUUAACAUAUGCCCUUCCAAUUCUACCCAUGGGUAGAUACCGAAGAAAAAUUGGGAGCGGGGACUCAAACAGGUACGUGCACACCAAUGCUCAGGGUAGAAUUAUUGCAAUACCAAAAAGGUAUGAACAACCCAAAUGUCCACCAUGGGGAUGGGGAGAGACCGCUUAACAGGCUGGCGAUUUCAUUUGGGGGUGAUGAGAAUGUUCUGGAAUUGUAUAGUGGCUGUGGCUGCACAGCCUUGCAAACAUACUAAAAUGCCACUGAGUCAUAUACUUCAAAAGGGUGAAUUUAGGGAGUGUAGUUAUGUAUCAACCAAAAAGAAAGAAAACGCAAGAGCCGAAAUAACCGUUUCUCUUCCUCUUUCCCCUCUGACACUUCCUGCUCUAUUUCUGACCCUUUCUUGCUCCUGGAUGCUAUCAGAUUUCAGAUCUCUCCAAGAAAACAUUCCUGGCAUGCAUUAUGGUCCUAAAGCUGGAGUAGAAAUCAUUUCCCAAGUCUGCUAAUCCUGAAUAAACACAUUUUCAAAGACUAUUACUUAUUUUGCAAGGACAUUUUGGGAGAUACCUUUAAAAAAAAAAAAAAAAAGCUGGUUAUGUCAAUGUCAACUCUAAUGACAGCCCUGAACAAUUUUGGCUCUUUGGAGUAGCUUAUAGGGAGGUUACAAGUUGCAGAAAUUAAAGAUGAGUAAGCACCUAGUUGCCAAUUUACAUUAUAUAUUUGGCCAUUAAAAUCUGGAUGAGCUCCUGUUUUCAUCCAAAGAUGUCAAAAGCUCUAACUUUUACAGGCAUCUCUGAGGAUAGAAUCUUAGCCAAUUCUUCAUGGCAAAGCAGCAUCAGGGAAAAGUAACUGAAUGUUCAGCUGUGUUUGAGAAUUUAGAAGUUUUAGCAAGUCCUUUGGUCAUACAUAUUCCCAAAGCACGUGGACUCCACAGCAUAGGGAUCGUGCUGCCCAAACCAGACACACAAGCUCAUCCCAUUCUUCCCAAAACUUCACCAUAGUGUUUUCAUUAUGUAAAAUGACAAACGAUGCACCUCGUGCUGUCUUACUCGUCAGAUUUUUAUGAACCCAGGAGGAGCUCAGGAGUCAUUGCCCAAGAGAGGCAAUCAUCCUCCCAAUCGCAUUGAGAAAUCAUGCAUCGAGAUGCUUCUUGUGCCUUUUAAUCAAAAAGGAUCCCCUGUCUCAUGAGGUGGGUAUAAUUUGGAAAAGCAUUCUUCAAUUUAUCUUACCUUUUCCCCCUGGAGGGGCUCUGUGUUUAUUGCGGUCAUCUAGAAAACAGGAGGUAAGAAAAAAAAUCACAAUGAUUGUGUGGGAAUCUUGGGGUCCUAUGUCCUCAUGUCCCACUUACGGACUCUAUGCCUUCUUUGGGAAGCAGAGAAUGUCUUCCCCACUCUUGGGAUGCUCACUGGGUUCGCAAACCAGGGUCAGAAUAUGAGAUUGCUCUUUCUAAUAUUCUUGGAAUUUUGAUAUUAUUUCUAAUAACAAAAAUAUUUAUAUGACCCCACUAAUUCCCCCCUCCCCUUCCAAUCCUAUUCCUUGCCAGUCUUCCCUAUCUCAGGCAAGAGCACGGCCAUUUUGCAAAUAUUCUCUCCCAUUUGGUUAAGUUGUCUUCUCAUCUUGUUGACUGUUUCUUCAGCCACGCAGAAGCUUUUUAGCUUGAUGC